rnacentral:misc_RNA from 1 species
GAUGAAGAACGCAGCGAAAUGCGAUAAGUAAUGUGAAUUGCAGAAUUCAGUGAAUCAUCGAAUCUUUGAACGAACAUUGCGCCCCUUGGUAUUCCGAGGGGCAUGCCUGUUCGAGCGUCAUUAUAACCCCUCAAGCUCAGCUUGGUGUUGGGGCCUGCUGCACUGGCAGCCCUUAAAAUCAGUGGCGGCGCCAUCUGGCUCUAAGCGUAGUAAUUCUUCUCGCUAUGGAGUCCUGGUGGAUGCUUGCCAUCAACCCCCAAUUUUUCUAUGGUUGACCUCGGAUCAGGUAGGGAUACCCGCUGAACUUAAGCAUAUCAAUAAGCGGAGGA